rnacentral:rRNA from 1 species
AACGAACGCUGGCGGCAGGCCUAACACAUGCAAGUCGAACGCCCUAGCAAUAGGGAGUGGCGCACGGGUGCGUAACGCGUGGGAAUAUGCCCUUCACUGCGGAAUAACGUUUGGAAACGAACGCUAAUACCGCAUAAUGACUCCGGUCCAAAGAUUUAUCGGUGAAGGAUUAGCCCGCGUUAGAUUAGCUAGUUGGUGAGGUAAUGGCUCACCAAGGCGACGAUCUAUAGCUGGUCUGAGAGGAUGAUCAGCCACACUGGGACUGAGACACGGCCCAGACUCCUACGGGAGGCAGCAGUGAGGAAUAUUGGACAAUGGGCGCAAGCCUGAUCCAGCCAUGCCGCGUGAGUGAAGAAGGCCU